rnacentral:lncRNA from 1 species
GGGAGGCUGGGAGGGGGGCAGGGCGGAAUCUCACUCCCCAGCUCCCCCAGGCUCUGAACACCAGCUCCCAGGGCCUAGCCCUGCUCCCUGCAUAACCCCAGGGAGCUCCUGCCAGCCAGGCGGUGGUCCCAACCUCUCCCCUGGGGGCCUGGGUCUGCUCCUCACCUUCAGCCUGUGAAUAUCCAACAGCCCGGCCCUUCCCCUGCCCCAGGCUGGGGGCCCAGAGGCCUGCUCCUCCUCCAGCUGGGCCUUCCAGCCUUACUUCACCCCCCGCCCCAUCACCCCUGCCACAGCUGAUCCACCCAGAGACCCCAGGACGUCCUGGCCUCAACCCUGACCCCAAGGAGAGAGGGGAGUGGGAGCGGGUGGGCGCUUGGCUCCGCCUCCUCGGCCGCUCUCCGUGGGCUUCCCCACCCGCGGGUGUCAAUUACAGUCGUCAGCGCCCACCCGCUCGGCCGCUGCGGGGUCUGCUCCUUCCGCCUCCGCCCCGUGCCCCAGCGGCCGGGAUGGAGGAGGGCUCCUGGGGAGGGGAGGAGCCACGCCCUGGCUCCCAGGAAACCGUGGGCGCCGGUCCGGUCCCGCUCCGGGGUCCGCUCUCCUGCCCAUCUGCUGUGUGCCCGUCCACCCACCGGUCGGGCCUCGCCCCCGACCCCUGCCCGGCCACGGGCCUGCCAGUGUCCCUGGGGAUACGGAGAGGAGCGGGGCUUCAGGGUCAGCGCUCGGGCUGAGCGGGAGGCACCUGCGACCCGACCAGAACGGCCAGGGACGCUUCCUGGAGGAGGGGCGGGCGCGGCCCGGAGGNNNNNNNNNNNNNNNNNNNNNNNNNNNNNNNNNGAGGGAAAGAUGCGGCCUUCGGCCCCGCGUCGCGCACGUGGCCCGCGCGGGAGGGGGCGGGCGAAUCUCCGGACAGGCCCGGAUCUCCGCUCACACCUGCCGGGGCUCAGGGGCGCCGGCCCGACCGUCCGUACUGCAGGGGCGGCGCGGGGUGCCUUUGUGAGGCGCCCCCCAGCAGGUUUCUGGCCAGAGACAGCUCUAUGUGGAGGGCCGCUGUCCAUUCACCGCUGCUGCGCUUCGAAUCCUGAAGACAAGGUUGUAGAAGUGAGGACUCCUGGUGGUUGUGCUGCUGCCCAGCCUCCAGCAGCGCCCGCAGGGCUUCGCUGCCUCCCUGCCCACCAUGCCGCGACCUCCCCCCAACCCCGCCUCGCCCAGGGACCUGACAGCCCCUCCUGGGCGGCCCUCAGGAGCCCCCGUGCUGAUGACCCCUCCCUCAGCCCCCAGCCCAGACUCCUGAGCACCAGCAGGGGUGCCCACUGGCCUCGGGGCCCUCUCUGA